rnacentral:lncRNA from 1 species
GGUCUGUCCAGGGUUCGGAAGAUAUUUUGAUAAUCACAGAACAUGAACUAGGGUGCUUAGAGUUAUAGUCCUCAAAGUGGCCACAUCCAAGCUAAAAUGCUUUCAGGAUCAUGAGAACCACCUCUCCUGAUUCUCCGUCUUGCCGUCUCAGGGCAGGGGAGACAUUGCCAUCACGAUUCACAUGGGAAGAUGUCUGAGGUGCCAUCAUCCCUUCUCCCGGGGCAAUGGUUUUCUAUAGAGGCCUUGAUCAGGUAACAGGAGAUCCUGGUUAUUUAAUAAAUUUCAUGCAACUUCCUACCACACAUUCCAAAGCACACCAAAGCCACUCAAACACGAGAAAUGAUUGUACGCCAUAGGAAAGGCGGCUGUCACGAAGUCAAGUCCCAGAGAGGCGAUUUCUACCAAGAAGGUCAUUCUUCCCUACCCCUGGGACAGGGAUGUCCUGAUACCUUGUCCCAGCACAUCCUCCCCACAGAGAAGAAGAAAUGGUCUCAGAGGGCGAGGACUGUUCUGCAGACAUAGUCGGCAGAUGGAAGAGCUGGGACUUAAACCCAAGUUCCAAGGUGCGUGCUCCCUUCUCUCUCUUCUCUCUCUCUGCACCACAAUUCUCUUGUCCAUAA